rnacentral:rRNA from 1 species
GAUGAACGCUGGCGGCGUGCCUAAUACAUGCAAGUCGAGCGAACAGACGAGGAGCUUGCUCCUCUGACGUUAGCGGCGGACGGGUGAGUAACACGUGGAUAACCUACCUAUAAGACUGGGAUAACUUCGGGAAACCGGAGCUAAUACCGGAUAAUAUAUUGAACCGCAUGGUUCAAUAGUGAAAGACGGUUUUGCUGUCACUUAUAGAUGGAUCCGCGCCGCAUUAGCUAGUUGGUAAGGUAACGGCUUACCAAGGCAACGAUGCGUAGCCGACCUGAGAGGGUGAUCGGCCACACUGGAACUGAGACACGGUCCAGACUCCUACGGGAGGCAGCAGUAGGGAAUCUUCCGCAAAGGGCGAAAGCCUGACGGAGCAACGCCGCGUGAGUGAUGAAGGUCUUCGGAUCGUAAAACUCUGUUAUUAGGGAAGAACAAAUGUGUAAGUAACUAUGCACGUCUUGACGGUACCUGAUCAGAAAGCCACGGCUAACUACGUG